rnacentral:pre_miRNA from 1 species
CGGGGGAGGCCGGAUCCUGGGCUGUGUCCUCGCGCCCUGUGCUCCGGGGCCUGCGCUGUUGGAUUCGCGCUCCCGCCCCGCAGCCCCCU